CCUUUCGGGGGUGUAAACUACGUCAGGGGCUACCAAGCAAAUCCCUUUAAUAGCGGGAGCGUUGAGGAACCCCAGAGGAAGCCACGGCUAACUUCGUGCCAGCAGCCGCGGUAAGACGAAGGUGGCAAGCGUUGUUCGGAAUUACUGGGCUUAAGGAGCACGUAGGCGGUCUGUUAAGCGUUUUGUGAAAUCCCUCGGCUCAACCGAGGAAUUGCUUGGCGAACUGACAGACUUGAGGCAGGUAGAGGUGCGCGGAACUCUUGGUGGAGCGGUGAAAUGCGUAGAUAUCAAGAGGAACGCCAGCGGCGAAAGCGGCGCACUGGGCCUGAUCUGACGCUGAGGUGCGAAAGCUAGGGGAGCGAACGGGAUUAGAUACCCCGGUAGUCCUAGCUGUAAACGAUGUCCACUAGGUUGGAGGUUCUUUGACGGAUUCCCAACCGUAGCGAAAGCGUUAAGUGGACCGCCUGGGGAGUACGGUCGCAAGGCUAAAACUCAAAGGAAUUGACGGGGGCUCACACAAGCGGUGGAGCAUGUUGCUCAAUUCGAUGCAACGCGAAGAACCUUAUCCUGGGUUUGAAAAGCAUGGAUACGUCCUCUGAAAGGAGUGUACGUUGCCCUUCGGGGUGAAACUUGUACAGGUGCUGCAUGGCUGUCGUCAGCUCGUGUCGUGAGAUGUUGGGUUAAGUCCCGUAACGAGCGAAACCCUUGUCGUUAGUUGCCAGCGCGUUAUGGCGGGGACUCUAGCGAGACUGCCGGUGUUAAACCGGAGGAAGGUGGGGAUGACGUCAAGUCCUCAUGGCCUUUAUACCCAGGGCUGCAAACGUGCUACAAUGGCCGGUACAAACCGACGCGAUACCGCGAGGUGGAGCAAACCGGAAAAAACCGGCCCCAGUUCGGAUUGGAGUCUGCAACUCGACUCCAUGAAGUUGGAAUCGCUAGUAAUCGCAGAUCAGAUACGCUGCGGUGAAUAUGUUCCUGAGCCUUGUACACACCGCCCGUCAAGUCAUGGAAGCUGGUAGCACCCGAAGUCGCCCCGUACAGGGGUGCCGA
rnacentral:rRNA from 1 species